rnacentral:rRNA from 1 species
UACGUAGGGGGCAAGCGUUGUCCGGAUUUAUUGGGCGUAAAGAGCGUGUAGGCGGCCUGAAAGGUCAGCUGUGAAAACUCGAGGCUCAACCUCGAGACGCCGAUGGAAACCAUGUGGCUAGAGUCCGGAAGAGGAGAGUGGAAUUCCUGGUGUAGCGGUGAAAUGCGCAGAUAUCAGGAAGAACACCCGUGGCUAAGGCGGCUCUCUAGUACGGUACUGACGCUGAGACGCGAAAGCGUGGGGAGCAAACAGG